ensembl:snRNA U6 U6 spliceosomal RNA
GUGCUUGCUUCGGCAGCACAUAUUGGAACGAUACAGAGAAGAUUAGCAUGGCCCCUGUGCAAGGAUGACAUGCAAAUUUGUGAAGCAUUCCAUAUUUUU